rnacentral:rRNA from 1 species
AUACGUAGGUGGCGAGCGUUAUCCGGAAUUACUGGGUGUAAAGGGCGCGCAGGCGGGGAGACAAGUCAGAUGUGAAAUACCGGUGCUUAACACCGGGGGUGCAACUGAAACUGUUUUUCUUGAGUAUCGGAGAGGGAAGCGGAAUUCCCAGUGUAGCGGUGAAAUGCGUAGAGAUUGGGAGGAACACCAGUGGCGAAGGCGGCUUUCUGGACGACAACUGACGCUGAGGCGCGAAAGCGUGGGGAGCAAACAGGAUUAGAUACCCUGGUAGUCCACGCCGUAAACGAUGGAUACUAGGUGUAGGAGGUAUCGACCCCUUCUGUGCCGGAGUUAACACAAUAAGUAUCCCACCUGGGGAGUACGGCCGCAAGGCUGAA